UCGACACAAUGAUGAUCCCAUAGUUCAGCAGAUAAACCAUGAAGAAUGACUAUUGUCUUUCGCUCCUAGCUGAUGUGUCGG
ensembl:snoRNA